rnacentral:rRNA from 1 species
UACGUAGGGUGCAAGCGUUUGUCCGGAAUUAUUGGGCGUAAAGAGCUCGUAGGCGGUUUGUUGCGUCGGCUGUGAAAUCCCGAGGCUCAACCUCGGGUCUGCAGUCGAUACGAGCAAACUAGAGUGUUGCAGGGGAGACUGGAAUUCCUGGUGUAGCGGUGAAAUGCGCAGAUAGUCUGGAGGAACACCGGUGGCGAAGGCGGCAUCCUGGAC